CUCCAGAAACGCUCGCCUUAACCACGAGGGCUCGUGGUGGCGGCCGAAUUGGCCGCUCCAGAGGAGCCGACUGUUUGGGGAGGUGGGAGGCGGUCGAUUCCUGCUGGACUUCUCUUGAAGCUGCGUAGCUUUGCCUGUGGGGACACGAAGGAUCCAGGCCAAUGGACUUCAUACAGGGUGGCAGGCAGUCAGGAACUCAGAAGGAGCCAUUGGUAUUGUAGAAAACUCAGUGAUCCAGCUCACCUGGAAUGAGCCUUUACCAUGGGCCUGCCACUGCUCACAGCAAGUUCUCAGCUACCCUUUGAGAUUUACUCUUAUUCCCAUUUAGCAGAUGUGAGAAGUGAGGCUCAGAAAGCUGAAGCAGCUUGCCCCAGACCACACAGCAAGACAUUGGAGGGCUGAAACGCAAGACUGUUAGAGCGGGGGCAGCAAAUUUUCCACUGAGAGACCAGAGAGAGUAAACAUUCAGGGCUUUGUGGGCCAAACAAUCUCUGUUUGGCCGGAACAUUGCAAAAAUCACCACAGACUGUAUGGAAAUGAAGGAGCGUGGCUGUGUGCUGAUAUAAUUUUAUUUGUGGACACUGAAAUUUGAAUUUCACAUGAUUUGCACCUGUCAGGAGUCUUCUUUUGACU